rnacentral:misc_RNA from 1 species
AAAACAGUAAAAAAGGCAAAAGCUUUCAUACCCAAAACUCAUCUUCAAAUGCACAUACUUUCCCUACUAAUAAACUUCAUAGCAGAGUUGAUAAGUUUCAGGUUUUGUUGAUCAUUAAGUGAACUUUUGUUAGCACAACUUUUAUGCAACAUGACUUCGAGGUCCUUUAAAGCCUCUGAUUCCCAACAGGGCAAGCCUUCUGGUGUUACUUUUGCAAGGAGGACCUCAUCGGGUCGGUAUGUGAACUUAUCGAGGGAAUCUCUGGAUAGUGAGAUUAGCGGCAUUGAAUUUGCGAACUACACAGUGCAUAUUCCUCCAACCCCUGAUAAUCAACCUAUGGAUCCUUCAAUUUCUCAAAGGGUUGAAGAGCAGUAUGUGUCAAAUUCCUUGUUUACCGGUGGUUAUAAUAGUGUAACUCGUGCUCACUUGAUGGAUAAGGUAAUUGAAUCAGAAACUAACCAUCCUCAGAUGGCUGGUGCAAAAGGUUCUUCUUGUGCUAUACCGGGUUGUGAUGGUAAAGUCAUGAGUGAUGAAAGAGGUGAAGAUAUACUUCCUUGUGAGUGUGAUUUUAAAAUUUGCCGGGAUUGUUAUGUUGAUGCUGUCAAAACUGGUGAUGGGAUAUGUCCUGGUUGUAAAGAGUCUUACAAGAGCACUGAUUUGGCUGAGAAUGCUGUAGAUCCUUCUGGACGGCCUCUAACGUUAGCUUCAAAUGUUAGUAUGUCUAAAAUGGAAAGGAGGUUGUCGUUGAUGCGAUCAGGUAAUAAAUCAGCGAUAAUAAGAAGUCAUUCAGGGUUGAUGAGGAGUCAG